ACCCAAUAUGGAGCUCAAACUUAUGACCCCAAGACUAAGGGUUGCAUGCUAUAUCCACAGAGCCAGCCAGGCACCCCUACUCAUGCUUUUAAAAAUCACUUAUUCUGGGAAGACAAAUAACGUGUAUUUUUUUCUUUUCUGUAACUAUGUUUAAUUAUUUAAAAAAAAAUACUUAUUAAGCAUCUGCUGUGUGUGAGGAACCAGCCUAGGCUCUGGGGAUACAAUGGUGAGCAAAGCUUUUCAUGGAGCAUAGAAUUGCAUUACAUUUUAGAUUAGCGAUAUUUUCUUUUUUCUGGGUUCGAUGACUUAGGAGAAAAUGUCUUAUACUGGGCCAUCUGAAUAAUAAAACUCAUCACAGAUGUAGUCUUUUGAAAAAAGUUAGCUUUGGGAUUUUUUCCCCUGUCUUUUAUGCAUCUUAAGCAGGAAGAGAGGUAUAUGAAGUGUUCUUUUUCAGUUUCUCAGCAGCUUAGCAAAUGAAGUGUUUGCCCCAAUUAACUGCAAUACAGCAUCGUAAAAUUCCAAUGAAAUACUUCAUUUGUUUUUCAUCCUAGAUGCUUAUUUUUAUAUAUUGUGCAGCAAAUAUAAUGUAAUUCAAUAGGCAAAAUAGAUGGUUUUUAUUUUGUUUAAUAUUAGGUAAGGAAUAUAAAACAUGUACAGUAUAAAAAGAUAAAAUGUACAUCUUUUUAAAUUACCCAAUUAAUGUAGUUGAAUUAAUUUGUGUUUUCCUUUGUUUAUGCUUGUAAAAAAUUUUUCUGUACUGUCAUAAAGACAUGUUCAUAGAUUUUCUUCUUAAAAUUUUCAUAGUUUUUCUUUCAUAUUUAAGUUUUAAUCUGUUUGCAGUUUAUUUUUGUUGGUGUGAAAUAGGUGUUUGAUUUCAUUUUUUUCCCGUUUUAAUCAUCGCUUCUCUCAGAGCCCUCUAGUGAAGACGCCAUCCUCCUUGUCAGUUCACCAUUCAGAUUUUCUUAACAAAACAGUCCCAGGAGUUUGGUGCUGAUUCUAGGCUUUCUUCUAGUCUAUCGGUUGUCUUUCCAUACGCUAUUUUCACUUGUCUUAAUUACGUUACCUUUACAAUAGUAAGGGGAGUCUCCCACAUUUAUUAUUCAGGUGGGUCUUCGUUUCAUAACCCUUUGCUCCAUAAAAACUAAAAGCAGCUUGUCAGUUUAUACACCGAAUAGUGUAUUUUGAUAGAGAUUACAUUGAAUUAAUAAAGUUUUAGAGUUAUCCCUAACAAUCUCAAACACCUUUUGUAGGAUUACUCCAAGAUACUUUAUAUGUUUUGAAACUAUUGUAUUUCUUUCUUAAAAUUAUAUAAUUUCAGAUUUAUUUUGGGUGUAUAUUUUGUAUAUAGUAAUACUGCUAAAUUCUCUUAAUUCUGCUAAAUUCUCUUAGUCAUUCAGUCAUUUACCUAUAGAUUCUUCGGAAUUUUCCAUAUAAAGAAAUAAAUUAUCUGCCAAUAGUGUUGGUUUUGUUUCUACCUUUCCAGGUUUUGUAUUUUGAAAACUUUUUUCUUGCUUUAAAGUGCUGUCCAGGACCCCAAAAACCCAAUUGAAUAGAAAUGAUAGGGGGUUUACUUAUCUCAUUUCCAUUUCUAAAGAAGGUGCUUUUUUACCACAAAGUAUAUGACUUGGUAAAUGUUUUAAAUAGAUAACCCUUUACCGUUUUAACAUUAAGGAUAUUCCCUCUAAAAUGGGUGCUGGUUUGUAAUUCUCUGAGGAGGUUCCCAGGUAUAAUCUGCACAGGGAGCCAGUACUUAUGAGGAUUGUCUGGGGCAGCUGCAGGAUGAGUAGAUCUCUGUGCAGAAUCUUAGAAGUUUAUAUAGAGGCCUUAACAGUGUUCUGUCAUGUACUCAGGAGGCCUUAAGUGGGUUCAGUCAGGUACCCAGCCCAGAGGGCCUCAAUACCAAGUUUCUAUCUCAAAGAUGUAUUUUGGGGGCAACUUCUGGGAACAGAGAAGGCAAGUGAAACACAUUUCAGAAACAGGGGAGUGGUGGAGUCCUCCACUUGUCUGGGUCCAUCCAGCUCGAGGGUCAGCUGGAAGUCAAAUCUUUUUGAUGACCUCCUCCAGCAGUAUUGACUUACCACGUAUUUUUUCUGUAUUUAUUGAAACUGCCUGUAUUCUUACCCUUCUGUUAAUGUAGGAAAUUACAUGGAUUUUCUGUUAAGCCAGUUUUUUUGUUCUUGAAAUAAAUCCGGGUCGGUCAUAUUAUUACCAGCUUUUGUAUAAAUUGCUGUUUGGUUUGCUAAUGUUCUCUAGAAUACUUGCAUGUAUAUUCACAAGUAAUUCUUCUUUUUCACAGUUUCAUAUUUUGAUAUCUGAGUUGCUCUAGUCUUUUUUUUUUUUUUAAGAUUUUAAUAAUUUUAUUUGAGAGAGAAUGAACAAGAGAGCAUAAGAGCAGGGAGGGUCAGAGGGAGAAGCAGACUUCCUGCCAUGCAGGAAGCCCAAUGUGAGACUCGAUCCCAGGACCUUGGCUUCAUGAGUGGAGCUGAAGGCAGCUGCCCAACGACUGAGCCACCCAGGCACUCUGAGUUGGUCUAGUCUUAUAAAAUGUAUGCUCCCUCCAAUUUUUAGAUACUCUGAAAUAUACUGUGGAUUAGCAUUAUAUUUUCUUGAAUGUUUGGUAGAAUGGUGGCUAAAAUUGCCUGGGCUUCUGCUGGAGUUGGAGGGAAGAUUUUUAACUACUUAUCUGGCAUAUUUAAUGGUUAGAGAGUUACUCAAACUUUGUUUCUUUCUUUAAGAUUUAUUUAUUUUGAGAGAGAGCGAGCAGGCGAAAAAUUGGAGGAGGGGAGGACAGAGGGAGAGGGAGAUGGAAAAUCUCAACCAGACUCCCUGCUAAGCUUGGAGCCUAAUGCAGGACUCCGUCUCACAACCCUGAGAUAAUGACCUGACCAAAACCAAAAGCUGAACAUCAACCUAUUGAGCCUUCCCCUCAUUUGCGUUUUUAUCAUUUUUCUGUAAGUUACUUUUUACAGAGGUGUAAAAUAGUCUAGUCAAUAGCAUUAAAUCAGUGGUGCAUCUUCAACACUGCUCUUAGUACCUGGUAAUCUUUUUUUGCCUCUUACCAAGUUCUGACUAAUUCUUCUUGACACACCGUUCAAAGAAUAGCUGUUGGGUCACCUGGGUGGCUCAGUCAAGUUAAGCAGUGGCCUCUUGAUUUUGGCUCAGGUCAUGAUCUCAAGUCAUGAGAGCAACCCCCAAGUUGGGCUUCAUGCUCAGUUCAGAGUUUGCUUGUCCCUCUCUGUCCCCUUUUGCCCCUCACCUGCUUGCAUGUGCUCCUUCUCCCUCUAAAAUAAGUAAAUAAAAUCCUUAAAAAAUAAAAAAUUGUUUAAAAAAAUAAGGGAACAACUUUUAUUUUCUUUUACUGAUUUCCCUUCAUUAAUCUGCCUUUUACUGUAUUUGAGUGUCACUGUCUUUAGUUUUUAAAGUAAACUGUACACCCAGUGUGGGACUCACACUUAGAACCAUAAGAUCAAGAGUCACAUGCUCUGCUGACUUAGCCAGACAGGAGCCCCGUUACUAUUUUUUUUUGACUGUUAGGUAUAAUGCUUUUCACUCAUUAGCUCCCAGCCUUCCUGACUUUCUGUUGUAAGCAUCAAGGCUGUAAGUUUCCCUUUAGUACUGUAGAUUUUUUGCUUUUAACCCUACAUAUGGUCUAUUUUUAUAAGCUUCAAUUUACUUGAGUAGAAUGUGAGUCUUUUCAUUUGGAACCAACAUUCAAUAUAUUGUGGCUUGUUAAUUCUUUACUGAUUAUUUUGUGUGCUUGAUCUAUCAGUUAUUGACAGAGGUGCUUUAGAAUAUUAAUUAAUGUGAUUAAUUUGCCUAUUACUGAGUUUCCUCAAUUUCUGUUUUGUGUAUUUUUUUUUUUUUUAAGAUUUUAUUUAUUUGACAGACAGAGAGAUCACAAGUAGGCAGAGAGAGGAGGGGAAGUAGGCUUCCUGCAGAGAAGAGAGCCUGAUGCAGGGCUCAAUCCCAGGACCAUGGGAUCAUGACCUGAGCUGAGGGCAGAGGCUUUAACCCACUGAGCCACCCAGGUGCCACCUGUUUUGUGUAUCUUGAGGCAUGUUUGUUUGCAUAUAAGUUGCAUAUAAAUUUCGAGUUACUGAUUUAGGAUAAAAUAUCUUUUUAUGAUUAGGUAGUGAUCCUCUUUUUCUUUGUUGGUGAUUUUUACCUCUACAUUCUAAUGUUGGCUCCUGUUAUAAACAUUUUUUUAUUUUUCUAUUUUGACUACUUUAGUAAAUAUUUUUUAGAUACGUGAACAAUAUUUUCAUUACUAUUUCCCUAGCAUGUCUUCCAUCUUUUAUUUUCAGCCUUUUUGUAUCUUUAUGUUUUACAUUUCUCUUUAAACAUCAUACUUCUGGGGUCAUGAUCCCAGGGUCCUGGGAUCGACCCCCGCAUUUGGCUCUCUGCUCAGCAGGGAGCCUGCUUCCCUUCCUCUCUCUCUGCCUGCUUGUGAUCUCUGUCAAAUAAAUAAAUAAACAUCAUAUUUCUGGAUUUUGUUCUUAAUCUAGCAUGAGGAUCUUUGCCUUUCAACUGUCCUGCAUAAAAAUGGUUGAACUUCCUGAACCCAGAAAUUGAGAUUAUCCUUAAUCAGUUGAGAAAAAGUCUCAGCCAGUAUGCCUUCAAAACUUGUUUCUGGAGGCGCCUGGGUGGCUCAGUGGAUUAAAGCCUCUGCCUUCGACUCCGGUCAUGGUCUCAGGGUCCUGGGAUCGAGCCCCGCAUCAGCUCUCUGCUCGGCAGGGAGCAUGCUUCCCUCUCUCUCUCUCUCUGCCUACCUCUCUGCCUACUUGAGAUCUCUCUCUGUGUUAAAUAAAUAAAUAAAAUCUAAAAAAAAAAAAAAAAAAA